rnacentral:rRNA from 1 species
GACGAACGCUGGCGGCGUGCUUAACGCAUGCAAGUCGAACGAUGAAGCCGGAGCUUGCUCUGGUGAAUUAGUGGCGAACGGGUGAGUAACACGUGAGUAACCUGCCCUUGACUCUGGGAUAACUGCGGGAAACUGUAGCUAAUACCGGAUACGACCCUCGGAGGCAUCUCCUGGGGGUGGAAAGAAUUUCGGUCAAGGAUGGACUCGCGGCCUAUCAGCUAGUUGGUGAGGUAAAGGCUCACCAAGGCGACGACGGGUAGCCGGCCUGAGAGGGUGACCGGCCACACUGGGACUGAGACACGGCCCAGACGCCUACGGGAGGCAGCAGUGGGGAAUAUUGCACAAUGGGCGCAAGCCUGAUGCAGCAACGCCGCGUGAGGGAUGACGGCCUUCGGGUUGUAAACCUCUUUUAGCAGGGAAGAAGCGAAAGUGACGGUACCUGCAGAAAAAGCACCGGCUAACUACGUGCCAGCCGCCGCGGUAA